rnacentral:rRNA from 1 species
UGACGAGUUUGAUCCUGGCUCAGAUUGAACGCUGGCGGAAUGCUUUACACAUGCAAGUCGAACGGUAGAGGGGCAACCCUUGAGAGUGGCGAACGGGUGAGUAAUACAUCGGAACGUGCCCAGUCGUGGGGGAUAACGUAGCGAAAGCUACGCUAAUGCCGCAUACGACCCGAGGGUGAAAGCGGGGGACUCGCAAGAGCCUCGCGCGAUUGGAGCGGCCGAUAUCAGAUUAGGUAGUUGGUGAGGUAAAGGCUCACCAAGCCAACGAUCUGUAGCUGGUCUGAGAGGACGACCAG